rnacentral:rRNA from 1 species
AUUGAACGCUGGCGGCAUGCCUUACACAUGCAAGUCGAACGGCAGCGGGCCUUCGGGUGCCGGCGAGUGGCGAACGGGUGAGUAAUGCAUCGGAACGUGCCAUUGAGUGGGGGAUAACGUAGCGAAAGUUGCGCUAAUACCGCAUAUUCUGUGAGCAGGAAAGCAGGGGACCGCAAGGCCUUGCGCUCUUUGAGCGGCCGAUGUCAGAUUAGCUAGUUGGUGAGGUAAAGGCUUACCAAGGCGACGAUCUGUAGCGGGUCUGAGAGGAUGAUCCGCCACACUGGAACUGAGACACGGUCCAGACUCCUACGGGAGGCAGCAGUGGGGAAUUUUUGGACAAUGGGGGGCAACCCUGAUCCAGCCAUGCCGCGUGAGUGAAGAAGGCCUCGG